UGGGGAAUUUUGGACAAUGGGGGCAACCCUGAUCCAGCAAUGCCGCGUGAGUGAAGAAGGCCUUCGGGUUGUAAAGCUCUUUUGUCAGGGAAGAAACAGCAGCUCUAACACAGUCUGCGAAUGACGGUACCUGAAGAAUAAGCACCGGCUAACUACGUG
rnacentral:rRNA from 1 species